rnacentral:tRNA from 1 species
GCUACUAUAGCUCAGGUGGUAGAGCACUGCCUUGGUAAGGCAGAGGUCUCGGGUUCGAGUCCCGAUAGUAGCUCCA